UACGAAGGGGGCUAGCGUUGCUCGGAAUCACUGGGCGUAAAGGGUGCGUAGGCGGGUCUUAAGUCAGAGGUGAAAUCCCGGAGCUCAACUCCGGAACUGCCUUUGAUACUGGGGAUCUUGAGUCCGGAAGAGGUGAGUGGAACUCCGAGUGUAGAGGUGAAAUUCGUAGAUAUUCGGAAGAACACCAGUGGCGAAGGCGGCUCACUGGUCCGGUACUGACGCUGAGGUGCGAAAGCGUGGGGAGCAAACAGG
rnacentral:rRNA from 1 species